rnacentral:rRNA from 1 species
AUUGAACGCUGGCGGCAGGCCUAACACAUGCAAGUCGAACGAGUGGCGGACGGGUGAGUAAUCUCUGGGCAACUGUAUGAUGGCGGGGGCUAAGUACUGGAAACGGUAGCUAAUACCGCAUACUACAAUUUCUGCCCAGAUGGGUUUAGCUGGUUGGUGGGGUAACGGCUCACCAAGGCGACGAUCCCUAGCUGGUCUGAGAGGAUGACCGGCAACACGGGAACGGGGACACGGCCAAGAUUCCUACGGGAGGAAGCAGUGGGGAAUAUUGGACAAUGGGCGAAAGCCUGAUGCAGACAGGCCGCGUGUAUGAAGAAGGCCUUGGGGUUGUAAAGUACUUUAAGCGGGGAGGCGUUACCCGAAGAGGAAGCACCGGCUAACUCCGUGCCAGCAGCCGCGGUAAUAC